GACAAGAUUCCGGGCCCUACGGGGCGCAGCAGGCGCGAAACCUUUACACUGCACGCCAGUGCGAUAAGGGGAUCCCGAGUGCACAGGCAUAGAGCCUGUGCUUUUCUGAACCGUAGGGAGGUUCAGGAACAAGAGCUGGGCAAGACCGGUGCCAGCCGCCGCGGUAAUACCGGCAGCUCGAGUGAUGGCCGAUCUUAUUGGGCCUAAAGCGUCCGUAGCUGGCCUUGCAAGUCCGUCGGGAAAUCCACCCGCUCAACGGGUGGGCGUCCGGCGGAAACUGUGAGGCUUGGGACCGGGAGGCUUGAAGGGUACGUCCGGGGUAGGAGUGAAAUCCCGUAAUCCUGGACGGACCGCCGAUGGGGAAACCACUUCAAGAGAACGGAUCCGACAGUGAGGGACGAAAGCUAGGGUCUCGAACCGGAUUAGAUACCCGGGUAGUCCUAGCUGUAAACGAUGCCUGUUAGGUGUGACUCCCACUACGAGUGGGUGUUGUGCCGUAGGGAAGCCGCUAAACAGGCCGCCUGGGAAGUACGUCUGCAAGGAUGAAACUUAAAGGAAUUGGCGGGGGAGCACUACAACCGGAGGAGCCUGCGGUUUAAUUGGACUCAACGCCGGACAUCUCACCAGCAUCGACUGUGGUAAUGACGGUCAGGUUGAUGACCUUACCCGAGCCACAGAGAGGAGGUGCAUGGCCGCCGUCAGCUCGUACCGUGAGGCGUCCUGUUAAGUCAGGCAACGAGCGAGACCCGCAUCCUUACUUGCCAGCAGCACCGUGAGGUGGCUGGGGGCAGUAGGGAGACCGCCGUGGCUAACACGGAGGAAGGAGCGGGCAACGGUAGGUCAGUAUGCCCCGAAUAUGCUGGGCAACACGCGGGCUACAAUGGCCGAGACAAUGGGUUCCAACGCCGAGAGGCGACGGUAAUCUCAGAAACUCGGUCGUAGUUCGGAUUGUGGACUGAAACUCGUCCACAUGAAGCUGGAUUCGGUAGUAAUCGC
rnacentral:rRNA from 1 species